UGGCUCUCGCAUCGAUGAAGAACGCAGCGAAAUGCGAUACGUAAUGUGAAUUGCAGAAUUCAGUGAAUCAUCGAAUCUUUGAACGCAUAUUGCGCUCUUUGGUAUUCCGAAGAGCAUGCUUGUUUGAGUAUCAGUAAACACCUCAACCUCCCCUUUCUAUUGUUGCAAGGCGGUUGGAUUUGAGCAAACCCAACUCUUUUUCUCGUGAAAAGAGACGGGUUGCUUGAAAUGCAGGUGCAGCUGUGGGAACAGACUGAGCUAAAAGCAUAUCCAUUUAGUCCUGCUGUCUAACUUGUUAGAAGGCGGAUUAUCUAUUUGCUGCAGCUACUCUAAGGUCGUCCUCGCGAUGAGCUGACUGAUGCAGGAUUUGUGAAGGAAUCGGUCGAUUCCUUUCAAAACUCGAUCUCAAAUCAAGUAAGACUACCCGCUGA
rnacentral:misc_RNA from 1 species